rnacentral:rRNA from 1 species
GACGAACGCUGGCGGCGUGCCUAACACAUGCAAGUCGAGCGGGGUCCAACCGGUGGCAACACCGGUGACGACCUAGCGGCGAACGGGUGAGUAACACGUGAGAAACCUGCCCCGGACUUCGGGAUAACACGGGGAAACCCGUGCUAAUACCGAAUACCCUCUUCUGGUCGCAUGGCCGGAUGAGGACAGAUUCAUCGGUUCGGGAGGGUCUCGCGGCCUAUCAGCUAGUUGGCGGGGUAACGGCCCACCAAGGCAUCGACGGGUAGCUGGUCUGAGAGGACGAUCAGCCACACUGGGACUGAGACACGGCCCAGACUCCUACGGGAGGCAGCAGUGGGGAAUCUUGCGCAAUGGGCGAAAGCCUGACGCAGCAACGCCGCGUGCGGGAUGAAGGCCUUCGGGUUGUAAACCGCUUUCAGCAGGGAAGAAAUUGACGGUACCUGCAGAAGAAGCCCCGGCCAACUACGUGCCAGCCGCCGCGGUAA